rnacentral:rRNA from 1 species
GACGAACGCUGGCGGCGUGCUUAACACGUGCAAGUCGAACGGAAAGGCCUCUUUCGGGGGGUACUCGAGUGGCGAACGGGUGAGUAACACGUGAGUAACCUGCCCUUGACUUUGGGAUAACUUCAGGAAACUGGGGCUAAUACCGGAUAGGAGCUCCUGCUGCAUGGUGGGGGUUGGAAAGUUUCGGCGGUUGGGGAUGGACUCGCGGCUUAUCAGCUUGUUGGUGGGGUAGUGGCUUACCAAGGCUUUGACGGGUAGCCGGCCUGAGAGGGUGACCGGCCACAUUGGGAAUGAGAUACGGCCCAGACUCCUACGGGAGGCGGCAGUGGGGAAUAUUGCACAAUGGGUGGAAGCCUGAUGCAGCAACGCCGUGUGCGGGAUGACGGCCUUCGGGUUGGAAACCGCUUUCGCUCAUGACGAAGCUUUGUGUGACGGUAGUGGGUAAAGAAGCACCGGCUAACUACGUG